GGCGAGAAAAGAGUUCGAUUGGUUGGAUGUAUUUUGAGUGAUGGCGAGAACUUGGAUGAGCGAGAUAUACAUCUCGAAUCCUAGCCUCAGGAGUGCACGGUAUACACCAUGUUCCAUUUCCAUAUUUAUUGGCAAAAGUGUUUAAUAAAGAUUAAGUAUUUUUAGGUUUGAUUGAGAAAGGGUUUGAAGAAACCGCAUUGACAAUUUUAGACGAUGGCGAGAGUUAGGAUAGGCGAGGCAUCCGCCUCGAAUCUUAAUCUCAG
rnacentral:lncRNA from 1 species